AACGAGCACGACUGGAAAUCGUGUUGUCGUCAAAAGCGGCACGAGGGUUCGAAUCCCUCCCACUGCGCCA
rnacentral:tRNA from 1 species